UGGGGAAUAUUGGACAAUGGGCGCAAGCCUGAUCCAGCCAUGCCGCGUGAGUGAUGAAGGCCUUAGGGUUGUAAAGCUCUUUUAGCAGGGAAGAUAAUGACGGUACCUGCAGAAUAAGCCACGGCUAACUUCGUGCCAGCAGCCGCGGUAAUACGAAGGUGGCUAGCGUUGUUCGGAAUUACUGGGCGUAAAGCGCGCGUAGGCGGCUUUGCAAGUCAGGGGUGAAAUGCCAAGGCUUAACCUUGGAACUGCCUUUGAAACUGCAAAGCUAGAGUGUCGGAGGGGAUGGCGGAAUUCCUAAUGUAGAGGUGAAAUUCGUAGAUAUUAGGAGGAACACCGGUGGCGAAGGCGGCCAUCUGGACGACAACUGACGCUGAGGCGCGAAAGCGUGGGGAUCAAACAGG
rnacentral:rRNA from 1 species